CAUAGGGCUGAAGUAAUAACACGUGUCCAAGGAAGUUGACCUAAGGAAAAAAGAAAAGCAGAAGUCAUUUUACUUUGGCGAAUCUUGGAGGAGUCGAUGUUGGGUUUUCGUUUAACAAAGGAUUCAUUCAUGGUAUUGAUGAUUAGUGUUGUUAUUGAGGAGUUUUUCGGCGAACGACAAGUUUGAUAGGCUACUUCGAGUGACGGUUGACUCGAGACUUCUGAGUUGCUUCUUCGUUGAGACAUGCAACAAAGUUGCCAUCGUUGAGACUUUCUGAGGUGGGUUAGAAAACAUAGUUGGAAGAGACAAGAAUCGUCAUGAGUGGAAUUGCUUCACAUCCUAAUAAUAUGGGUUUUUGUGGAAAUUCUAAAUAGCAGUAUAACCAUCUUUGCCACCAAUGAUAAAUCUUCAACUGAUCACAUUUUGCUCAUUUCUUAUGCUGUACACUAGAGAAUGAAUUUGUUUUGAUAAUACUGAAUCAAGAUUGUUAUGUUUACAACAUAAGUUAUUU